rnacentral:rRNA from 1 species
ACUCCUACGGGAGGCAGCAGUGGGGAAUAUUGGACAAUGGGCGCAAGCCUGAUCCAGCAAUGCCGCGUGUGUGAAGAAGGCCUUCGGGUUGUAAAGCACUUUUAUCAGGAGCGAAAUACUACCGGCUAAUAUCCGGUGGGGCUGACGGUACCUGAGGAAUAAGCACCGGCUAACGUCGUGCCAGCAGCCGCGGUAAUACGAAGGGUGCAAGCGUUAAUCGGAAUUACUGGGCGUAAAGCGUGCGUAGGCGGUUAUUUAAGUCUGUUGUGAAAUCCCCGGGCUCAACCUGGGAAUGGCAAUGGAUACUGGAUAGCUAGAGUGUGAUAGAGGAUGGUGGAAUUCCCGGUGUAGCGGUGAAAUGCGUAGAGAUCGGGAGGAACAUCAGUGGCGAAGGCGGCCAUCUGGAUCAACACUGACGCUGAGGCACGAAAGCGUGGGGAGCAAACAGGAUUAGAAACCCGGGUAGUCC